CAUUAUAGCAGGUAUAGCAUGGGCAGCAGCUAUGGAAGUCUUCCAUCGCCAGCCAGUGUGCCCCAAAUUUAACCUACAAGGACCACCUCUGGGG
rnacentral:sRNA from 1 species